UGGGGAAUAUUGCACAAUGGGCGAAAGCCUGAUGCAGCAACGCCGCGUGAGGGACGACGGCCUUCGGGUUGUAAACCUCUUUUAGUAGGGAAGAAGCGAAAGUGACGGUACCUGCAGAAAAAGCACCGGCUAACUACGUGCCAGCAGCCGCGGUAAUACGUAGGGUGCAAGCGUUAUCCGGAAUUAUUGGGCGUAAAGAGCUCGUAGGCGGUUUGUCACGUCUGCUGUGAAAACUGGAGGCUCAACCUCC
rnacentral:rRNA from 1 species